rnacentral:rRNA from 1 species
UAGUCCUAGCUGUAAACGUUGGGUACUUGGUGUGCCGUUCCAUGAGGACGGUGUGCCGGAGCUAACGCAUUAAGUACCCCGCCUGGGGAGUACGGCCGCAAGGCUGAAACUCAAAGGAAUUGACGGGGGCCCGCACAAGCGGUGGAGCAUGUGGUUUAAUUCGAUGCAACGCGAAGAACCUUACCUGGGUUUGAACUGCUUGGGACACCUCCCAGAAACGGGAGUUUCCUUUCGGGGACCCUUGCAGAGGUGCUGCAUGGCUGUCGUCAGCUCGUGUCGUGAGAUGUUGGGUUAAGUCCCGCAACGAGCGCAACCCUUGUCUUUAGUUGCCAUCAUUAAGUUGGGCACUCUAAAGAGACUGCCGGUGACAAACCGGAGGAAGGUAAGGAUGACGUCAAGUCAGCAUGCCCCUUAUGCUCUGGGCUACACACGUGCUACAAUGGCCGUGACAAAGAGUUGCUACUUUGUGAAAACAAGCUAAUCUCAUAAACGCGGCCUCAGUUCGGAUUGCAGG